UGGCUCAGGAUGAACGCUGGCGGUAUGCUUAACACAUGCAAGUCGAACGGGCUCCUUAGGGAGCUAGUGGCGGACGGGUGAGUAACGCGUGAGAAUCUAGCUUCAGGUUCGGGACAACAUUGGGAAACCGAUGCUAAUACCGGAUGUGCCGAGAGGUGAAAGGCUUGCUGCCUGAAGAAGAGCUCGCGUCUGAUUAGCUAGUUGGUGGUGUAAGGGACUACCAAGGCGACGAUCAGUAGCUGGUCUGAGAGGAUGAUCAGCCACACUGGAACUGAGACACGGUCCAGACUCCUACGGGAGGCAGCAGUGGGGAAUUUUCCGCAAUGGGCGAAAGCCUGACGGAGCAAUACCGCGUGAGGGAGGAAGGCUCUUGGGUUGUAAACCUCUUUUCUCAAGGAAGAAGUAAUGACGGUACUUGAGGAAUCAGCAUCGGCUAACUCCGUGCCAGCCGCCGCGUACGUACGACG
rnacentral:rRNA from 1 species